rnacentral:rRNA from 1 species
AGAACGAACGCUGGCGGCAGGCUUAACACAUGCAAGUCGAGCGGGUAGCAAUACCAGCGGCAGACGGGAUAGUAACACGUGGGAACGCGCCCUUCGGUUCGGAAUAACUCAGGGAAACUUGAGCUAAUACCGAAUACGCCCUUACGGGGAAAGAUUUAUUGCCGAAGGAACGGCCCGCGUCCGAUUAGCUAGUUGGUGAGGUAAUGGCUCACCAAGGCUACGAUCGGUAGCUGGUCUGAGAGGAUGACCAGCAUCACUGGGACUGAGACACGGCCCAGACUCCUACGGGAGGCAGCAGUGGGGAAUAUUGGACAAUGGGCGAAAGCCUGAUCCAGCCAUGCCGCGUGGAUGAUGAAGGCCUUAGGGUUGUAAAGUCCUUUUAACGGGGGAAGAUAAUGACGGUACCCGUAGAAUAAGCCCCGGCUAACUUCGUGCCAGCAGCCGC